UACACACUAGAGUGUGGACGUAAACACGC
rnacentral:piRNA from 1 species